rnacentral:rRNA from 1 species
UCCGUAGGUGAACCUGCGGAGGGAUCAUUACCGAGUUUACAACUCCCAAACCCCUGUGAACAUACCAAUUGUUGCCUCGGCGGAUCAGCCCGCUCCCGGUAAAACGGGACGGCCCGCCAGAGGACCCCUAAACUCUGUUUCUAUAUGUAACUUCUGAGUAAAACCAUAAAUAAAUCAAAACUUUCAACAACGGAUCUCUUGGUUCUGGCAUCGAUGAAGAACGCAGCAAAAUGCGAUAAGUAAUGUGAAUUGCAGAAUUCAGUGAAUCAUCGAAUCUUUGAACGCACAUUGCGCCCGCCAGUAUUCUGGCGGGCAUGCCUGUUCGAGCGUCAUUUCAACCCUCAAGCCCAGCUUGGUGUUGGGACUCGCGAGUCAAAUCGCGUUCCCCAAAUUGAUUGGCGGUCACGUCGAGCUUCCAUAGCGUAGUAGUAAAACCCUCGUUACUGGUAAUCGUCGCGGCCACGCCGUUAAACCCCAACUUCUGAAUGUUGACCUCGGAUCAGGUAGGAAUACCCGCUGAACUUAAGCAUAUCAAUAAGCGGAGGAA